rnacentral:misc_RNA from 1 species
UACGGAAGGCCCGAGCGUUAAUCGGAAUCACUGGGCUUAAAGGGUGCGCAGGCGGACAGGAAGGCAUCUCGUGAAAUCCCCCGGCUCAACCGGGGAACUGCGGGGUGAACCACCUGUCUUGAGGAAGGUAGGGGUCAGUGGAACCAUGGGUGGAGCGGUGAAAUGCGUAGAUAUCCAUGGGAACGCCUAUGGCGAAGGCAACUGACUGGGCCUUUCCUGACGCUCAGGCACGAAAGCGUGGGGAGCAAACGGG